GAUGAAGAACGCAGCGAAAUGCGAUAAGUAAUGUGAAUUGCAGAAUUCAGUGAAUCAUCGAAUCUUUGAACGCACCUUGCGCCCUUUGGCUAUUCCGAAGGGCAUGCCUGUCCGAGCGUCAUUGCUGCCCUCAAGCACGGCUUGUGUGUUGGGCCUCCGUCCUCCUCCCGGGGGACGGGCCCGAAAGGCAGCGGCGGCACCGCGUCCGGUCCUCGAGCGUAUGGGGCUUCGUCACCCGCUCUUGUAGGCCCGGCCGGCGCUUGCCGACACAUCAAUCUUUUUUCCAGGUUGACCUCGGAUCAGGUAGGGAUACCCGCUGAACUUAAGCAUAUCAAUAAGCGGAGGA
rnacentral:misc_RNA from 1 species